UACGGAGGGUGCGAGCGUUGUCCGGAAUCAUUGGGCGUAAAGGGCGCGUAGGUGGCUUCUCAAGCGUGCGGUGAAAGCCUGGGGCUCAACCCCGGGUCGGCCGUGCGAACUGGGGGGCUUGAGCACUGUAGAGGCAGGCGGAAUUCCGGGUGUAGCGGUGGAAUGCGUAGAGAUCCGGAAGAACACCGGUGGCGAAGGCGGUUGGCUGGGCCACAACUGACACUGAUGCGCGACAGCGUGGGGAGCAAACAGG
rnacentral:rRNA from 1 species